GCUAUUUCCAUUUGAAAAUCUUGUUAAUUUCACUUUCAGUUUGUUGAUGUUAUUCCUGUAGAUUAUUUUGACUCCUUAUGGAUGCUUAUGUUUAUAUGCAGUUCCAUGAUAACUUCCAUCUUAAAGGCCCAAGUAGUUCAGAUUCAGAUAGAUCCUUUGAGUCUGCCCUUGCCCAUGCUCUUGAAACACAUACAUAUUAAAUUAUUGAAUUUUAUAGUUUAUCUACUUGGUUAUUAACUCACUUAAAACAUAUGUAAUUUGUGUAAACCCUCAUCAUCAUUUCAUUAGCAUUUGCUAGAUCGUUCCCCAUUAGAAAUUAUCGUAAAAACCUACCCAGGAAGUUCUUUGCAUCAUGACAUCUGUCAUUAUUUCCCAUCCAUCUUGGGCAUAGGUCACUCAUCUAGUCCUAAUUCCUUAAUUUACUAGUUUCAAUUAGGAUUUGGUUUUAUCAUUUUGUCAUUUGGCGUUUUAUCAUAUCAGUGGUUUAUCUGUUCUUUUCUUAUGCUCCUUGCACCACCACUUAAUCCACUGAUAGCUUUAACACUUCCAUGUUAGAUUAUCUCUGCGUACUAUUCUGUAUUUAGUUAAUUUCAGCUCUGCAUUAAAAAUUUUGUUUGGAAACUCCGUUUGAUUCAAUAUUGGGAAGCAGCCAUUAACAUCAUAGUCAAAUUUGUCAAACUGCUAUUUGGUCCCCUGUGGGCCAUUUGAUAUAACAGUGGUUGAACCGAGAAGCUUAUUGCUGUCCUUUAGUAGUUGAAGCUGAAGUUGGGAGGUAUUUAAUGGCUGAACUGAGAAGCCAUUAACAUCAUAGUCAUGGUGUUGGGAGGUUUUUAAUGGCUGAAGCUAUACUUGGAUAGACUACUAUACCCUUGAGUACUUUAUUAUUUAAAUAUUUUAUCCACUAAAAAUAAAGCAAUAAAUCAUUCAGUUCAACUAAAUUAAGGAAGGUUGAUCCCCCCAAAUAACCGCUAUUAGAUGCAUAACUAGAUGGACACCAUGGCUGGUUAGGAGCCAAAAACAUAAACUACUUGACUUGUAUUGUGGUCUUUAUGUGGGGUAUGAGAGUUAAAUGAAUUCAAACUGAUAAACAAUAGCAGUCAUCAUGGAUAAGCCUAUCAGUCGAUCAAGUAAUUCACUCUUUAAUUAAUUAAUUGCAGAAGUUGUGCUGCACUUUAGCUACCAGCAGCCACGAUCAAAGUCUUGCUUGCAGAUAUUUACAAGCUAGAUGAUAGAUACUAUUGUAACUUAUAUACCUUGAAAACUGAAGAAUGAGAACCCAAUCCAUGAUCCUUUUCCCACUAAGUAGAAUGAUUUGGGUCGUUAUGUAUUGAAUGGGGUUCUUUUCCUGUCAUUCUUCUCAUAAUAAAGCCCAAAUUGGAUUCUUUUCCUUUAUGUAGGUACCACUCCCAUAACAAUGAUUACCUUGAGAUCUGUCGUAGCUACAAGGCAAUCUAUGAGAUUCCAUCUGUCAAAGAAGAUCCGGCACAAUGGAUACCAAUAAGUACUGUUUUUGAAUUCAUGUCUUCCCUAUUUACCUUGGUUUUUCCUGGCAAUUAUUCCCACUUGCAGGUCCUACGGAAAAUUUGUUGGUAUUUAGUGCUGUCUCCACAUGAUCCAUUGCAGUCAAGCCUUCUUAGCUCUAUUUUGGAGGAUAAGAAUCUAGGUGAAAUUCCAACAUUUAGGUUGUUGUUGAAACAGCUGACCACAAUGGAGGUGAUCCAGUGGAAUACUCUUUGGGAGACAUAUCGGGAUGAGUUUGAGAAUGAAAAGAAGAUGCUUGGGGGUCAUUUGGGUGAGAAAGCAGCAGAGGAUCUAAAACAGAGAAUUAUUGAGCAUAACAUAUUAGUCGUGUCAAAAUAUUA